rnacentral:misc_RNA from 1 species
GGUAGCAUUCCUCACUGACAAUACUCGAAGUGGCAUUCAUAUGCCACGACGAGAGUCAUUCAAUUGGGACAAAAAUCGCUAGCUACGGGAUAAAGACGAAACAUUGCCGUCUUACCCAAUGCAUAUUCCGCAUCCGAGAGUUCAAGCGAGCGUUCAUGGGCCAAACAACUACCAUCGCAAUUCGAGUUACGUGGGACACAAACGAUGCUUUUGAGGUUCACCGCGUCAAUCCUGUAACUAAACGGGAAGACGUCGUGUGAAAGAUACACGAUUUGCCGGCAUAAUUCCAUAUAGUAGGAAUGCAACACAAGAAACCAAAGAAAUCGGGUAGCCAAGACAUGGUGCUCUUGUACUAUCAAAAAUGAAGAGGAGCGCAUGGACAAGCCGUCAC